UCACACUUCGUCGGCGACAAGUGCGAAGCAGCUUUCAGACGGACUUCCGGUCACACUUUCAAAGAAGAGGUUGCAGUUGGCAGGGACAGUGAUUCAAGCCGUAUCUCCACUGUCUCGGCAGUAACAACUGACUGUCCUGCAUAGAGCAAUGGCCUCAAACACACCCUUCGAGUGAAAAGAACAAUUAAAUGUUCAAGUUCCGGUACAAUAUUGUCUGUUUGAUGCUCACUUGACGCUGGUUCAUUUCGCCACCGCUAUCUCCAGGAGACACACCCCGCCAGCGGUCAGACGGGAGCUGGAUAUGAGAAUGAUGGUAGUUGCACGCGCAGACGAUGCUGCCUUCAAGGUAAAUCUUGCUGAGAGCCCAAGGCACCAAAGUAGUUGGGAUUAAAAGUG